GUUAAGCGACUAAGCGUACACGGUGGAUGCCCUGGCAGUCAGAGGCGAUGAAGGGCGUGCUAAUCUGCGAUAAGCGCCGGUAAGGUGAUAUGAACCGUUAUAACCGGCGAUACCCGAAUGGGGAAACCCAGUGUGAUUCGUCACACUAUCAUUAACUGAAUCCAUAGGUUAAUGAGGCGAACCGGGGGAACUGAAACAUCUAAGUACCCCGAGGAAAAGAAAUCAACCGAGAUUCCCCCAGUAGCGGCGAGCGAACGGGGAGGAGCCCAGAGCCUGAAUCAGCAUGUGUGUUAGUGGAAGCGUCUGGAAAGGCGCGCGAUACAGGGUGACAGCCCCGUACACAAAAGCGCAUGUGCUGUGAGCUCGAUGAGUAGGGCGGGACACGUGGUAUCCUGUCUGAAUAUGGGGGGACCAUCCUCCAAGGCUAAAUACUCCUGACUGACCGAUAGUGAACCAGUACCGUGAGGGAAAGGCGAAAAGAACCCCGGCGAGGGGAGUGAAAAAGAACCUGAAACCGUGUACGUACAAGCAGUGGGAGCACAGGUUUACCUGUGUGACUGCGUACCUUUUGUAUAAUGGGUCAGCGACUUAUAUUCUGUAGCAAGGUUAACCGUAUAGGGGAGCCGUAGGGAAACCGAGUCUUAAC
rnacentral:rRNA from 1 species